AAAUAAUUAUUCCGUCAUGGGCAAUUAAGGGAAGGACAAGCAUGAUGGAAUAAUUCCAUUGUUUGUUGUUAAGGGGAUAAACGAACAUGCUAUGCAACGUCAGUGGGCUUGAAAAGUUAUAUACGCAUAUUUGCUUGGUUUUCAAGAUCUCUUCAAUUUUGCACAAAUUAAAAAACCUUUGCAACUGUCCGUAGCAGAACUUCGCCUCCUUAGCCACACCUCCCCUUUUCACAAAUAUUCUUUUUGAUUGAGAGGUAAACAACUUAGCUCAGCCAAUGAGAGAUCAGCGUGUUAUUGAAUUGACUCCACCAAGCAGCCAAU